rnacentral:rRNA from 1 species
UGGCUCAGGAUGAACGCUAGCUACAGGCUUAACACAUGCAAGUCGAGGGGAAGCGACAUCGAAAGCUUGCUUUUGAUGGGCGUCGACCGGCGCACGGGUGAGUAACGCGUAUCCAACCUGCCCACCACUUGGGGAUAACCUUGCGAAAGUAAGACUAAUACCCAAUGAUAUCUCUAGAAGACAUCUGAAAGAGAUUAAAGAUUUAUCGGUGAUGGAUGGGGAUGCGUCUGAUUAGCUUGUUGGCGGGGUAACGGCCCACCAAGGCGACGAUCAGUAGGGGUUCUGAGAGGAAGGUCCCCCACAUUGGAACUGAGACACGGUCCAAACUCCUACGGGAGGCAGCAGUGAGGAAUAUUGGUCAAUGGACGAGAGUCUGAACCAGCCAAGUAGCGUGCAGGAUGACGGCCCUAUGGGUUGUAAACUGCUUUUAUAAGGGAAUAAAGUGAGUCUCGUGAGACUUUUUGCAUGUACCUUAUGAAUAAGGACCGGCUAAUUCCGUGCCAGCAGCCGCGGUAAUACGGAAGGUCCGGGCGUUAUCCGGAUUUAUUGGGUUUAAAGGGAGCGUAGGCCGGAGAUUAAGCGUGUUGUGAAAUGUAGACGCUCAACGUCUGCACUGCAGCGCGAACUGGUUUCCUUGAGUACGCACAAAGUGGGCGGAAUUCGUGGUGUAGCGGUGAAAUGCUUAGAUAUCACGAAGAACUCCGAUUGCGAAGGCAGCUCACUGGAGCGCAACUGACGCUGAAGCUCGAAAGUGCGGGUAUCGAACAGGAUUAGAUACCCUGGUAGUCCGCACGGUAAACGAUGGAUGCCCGCUGUUGGUCUGAAUAGGUCAGCGGCCAAGCGAAAGCAUUAAGCAUCCCACCUGGGGAGUACGCCGGCAA